rnacentral:rRNA from 1 species
UACGGAGGAUGCAAGCGUUAUCCGGAUUUAUUGGGUUUAAAGGGUGCGUAGGCGGAUAUGUAAGUCAGCGGUGAAACUCACAGGCUCAACCUGUGCCGUGCCGUUGAAACUGUGUAUCUGGAAUGCGGAUGCUGUGGGAGGAAUGUGUAGUGUAGCGGUGAAAUGCAUAGAUAUUACACAGAACACCGAUUGCGAAGGCAUCUCACAAAGCCGUUAUUGACGCUGAGGCACGAAAGCGUGGGGAGCAAACA